GACGAACGCUGGCGGCGUGCCUAAUACAUGCAAGUAGAGCGCACAGUUUAUACCGUAGCUUGCUACACCAUAGACUGUGAGUUGCGAACGGGUGAGUAACGCGUAGGUAACCUGCCUGGUAGCGGGGGAUAACUAUUGGAAACGAUAGCUAAUACCGCAUAAUAUUGAUUAUUGCAUGAUAAUUGAUUGAAAGAUGCUAUUGCAUCACUACCAGACGGACCUGCGUUGUAUUAGCUAGUAGGUGAGGUAACGGCUCACCUAGGCGACGAUACAUAGCCGACCUGAGAGGGUGAUCGGCCACACUGGGACUGAGACACGGCCCAGACGCCUACGGGAGGCAGCAGGAGGGAAUCUUCGGCAAUGGACGAAAGUCUGACCGAGCAACGCCGCGUGAGUGAAGAAGGGUUUCGGAUCGUAAAGCUCUGUUGUAAGAGAAGAACGGGUGUGAGAGUGGAAAGUUCACACUGUGACGGUAUCUUACCAGAAAGGGACGGCUAACUACGUG
rnacentral:rRNA from 1 species